AACCCAAUGUGAACCAUACCAAACUGUUGCCUCGGCGGGGUCACGCCCCGGGCGCGUCGCAGCCCCGGAACCAGGCGCCCGCCGGAGGGACCAACCAAACUCUUUUCUGUAGUCCCCUCGCGGACGUUAUUUCUUACAGCUCUGAGCAAAAAUUCAAAAUGAAUCAAAACUUUCAACAACGGAUCUCUUGGUUCUGGCAUCGAUGAAGAACGCAGCGAAAUGCGAUAAGUAAUGUGAAUUGCAGAAUUCAGUGAAUCAUCGAAUCUUUGAACGCACAUUGCGCCCGCCAGUAUUCUGGCGGGCAUGCCUGUCCGAGCGUCAUUUCAACCCUCGAACCCCUCCGGGGGGUCGGCGUUGGGGACCUCGGGAGCCCCUAAGACGGGAUCCCGGCCCCGAAAUACAGUGGCGGUCUCGCCGCAGCCUCUCCUGCGCAGUAGUUUGCACAACUCGCACCGGGAGCGCGGCGCGUCCACGUCCGUAAAACACCCAACUUCUGAAAUGUUGACCUCGGAUCAGGUAGGAAUACCCGCUGAACUUAAGCAUAUCAA
rnacentral:rRNA from 1 species